UCUUGGUUCACUUCUAAAAGAGAUAGAAUAUGCCUGAACAUGAAGAUGAUGUUGUUGAGGUGAAGGAAGGAGGAGGAGGUGGGAUCGAGGGACGAAAUGAAACUGUUUUGGCGAGGAAGUUGAAGAAGACGUUAGAGUUAAAACUAGAGAAGGACGGAGAUACUGUGGAUGCACUCAUGGAGCUUUCUACAUUCUUCAAGGAGAAUAACUUGAAGACUCGGAGAAACCUACGAGGACAGAUUGAAAGACGUAGUUUAGAGAUCAAUCAUGAGUUCCUCUCCGCAUUCCAGGCCGUCAAGGAGAGCCUGGACGGGAUUCAUAAUAACGUCAAGGGAAUGUCAGACUCGUGCAAAUCUAUGCAGAACCGGUUGGAGCUGAGUAAGAAACAAACCCAGGAACUGAUGAAGAAGACAACUGAGCUCCGAGGGGAAGGAAAUAAACUGACCACUCAGAAACAACUAGCGGAGAAGAUGAGAGAACGACUAGUUCUCACAAAUAAGGAGGUUCAAGAGCUAAAGGGAGGAACUGAGAUUAAUAGGAUCGGAGCAAGCUUCUUCCUUGUACUGGAAAAAGUUAAACGGAUACACUCGGACUGUAAGGUUCUGCUUGCUGCCGGUCACCAAGCUACAGGGUUGAGUGUGAUGGAGAGAAUGGAAGAAUACCGGGAGCUGGGACUAGACAGACUUUAUCGUUGGUCUCAGAGUGCAGUACGGAAUAUAGAGAUUGGAGAGAAUUCUGGAAACCUUGCUCAAGGAUUCUUUCAUCUCCAGGAGAAAGAAGCUCUCUUCAACCACAUUAUCGAGGAGUUCAUCUCUUGCCGGAGACAAUAUAUAGUUCGUCAGUUCCUGGAUGCUCUAACUGUCGGAGGUCCCGGAGGAACUCCGCGUCCUAUAGAACUGCAUGCUCAUGAUCCUACCCGAUAUGUCGGAGAUAUGUUAGCCUGGUUGCAUCAGAUCUGCCCCGGGGAGACGGAGAAUAUAACGCUUCUUUUUAAACUAUGCGAUAGGACGGAUAAGGUGGAGCUGACGGGACGUAUUCUUUCCGGUAUAACAGAGGGAGUAUGCAGACCUCUGAAAUCAAGGAUAGAACAGAUCCUGGUCUCCGAGUCCAGUGCAAUUAUUCUCUACAAGCUGACUAAUCUCAUCAGAUUCUACGAUAGAACAAUUUCAGAUAUUCUACGUUGUUCAAGUGUACUGAGUUCAACUCUAUGCGAACUUCAACAACUGUCAUAUUCACAGUUUCUCUCCUUGCUUCAAACAUCUGUGACAGCACAGUUAGCAAAAAGUGAGCUCGGGGACGGAUCUUCAGAUUUAUCUCCUUCUUACACAACAUCGUCGCUAUUGGGACUUUUAAGAGAUGUUUUGUCUGGACACUCUGUCGUAGAAUCCAGUCAGGCUGAUCUACCUGUUGUAGUUCGAGCAGUAGUUGAUCCUCUUACUCUACAUCUACAGGAAACUGCUCUUAAACUUCCUAAACAAGAUGCAGCGGUUUUCUUGCUAAAUAACUUCCAUCCUCUCCGCUCCACCCUCUCCCUCUACCAGUCCGAUGAUAAGAGGUUACUUGAGCUGAACAAGAGAAUGGAAACCUGUAUCCUGGAUCUGGUCAGAGAACAAACCUCUUAUAUUCUUCUUAAUCUUGAACUAGUUCCGAUCCUUGCCAUCAUAUCACAGAAUGACGGUAGUUCACUCUCCUCUGUGCCUGGCACUCAUAGGGAAGCAAUAGGAGCUGCCAUGGCUAGACUUGAUAAUCUUCUCUCCGCUCCUGAUCUUUAUAUUCUUCCGUCCACAAGAUGGUUGGUUUCCUCUCAGCACAGAAAAACUGUCCGGAUAUCCUCUCAUCUUGAAUUAGUGAAAUCGUACACACUUCUUUAUCAGGCUGUAACGGAUCCUAAUAACGGAUACGAACCUGGAACCCUGAGUAAGACGCCGGAGCAGAUAAAACUACUCCUACAGAUCUAACACCCUUGUCUUAUCUAUAGAAUGAUGAGAAGCCAGCAAUAUGAUGAAUCCGUUUCACGUUUUUAAGUUUUUGUUAACUGUACUCUAUACCUGAGCGAGUUUUGUAUUUAUUUCAAUUCGUUUGCAAUAUUUAAACCAAUUAUAUAAAGCUAUUUUUUGAUCAUAGGCCGAAAAAUAAUCUAAAGGGGUUUACAGAGUGUAGUGGCGAUUUGGUAGUGAGGAGUACCAACUGUACCAACCUGUAUUUUACUAAAUGAUCAAAUGUUCUGAAAUGAUGAAAACAAUUAUAGUUAAGUUUUUUGGACAGGAUUCAUUUAUUGUAAUCAUCAUUUGCUAUUAGUUUAGAGUGUUGAUGAAUUCAGUGAUACACCAGUCGGCCGACUUUUUGUGAUAUGAAAUUUAUUCCACAGAUUUAUAAAUUUUGAAAUUUUAUGCACCUAUCUAUAUUUCAG
rnacentral:misc_RNA from 1 species